rnacentral:rRNA from 1 species
AGUGAACGCUGGCGGCAGGCCUAACACAUGCAAGUCGAGCGGAAGCAGAGAGCUAGCUCCCGGUUUCGGCGGCGGAGGGGUGAGUAGUGCCUAGGAAUAUGCGUGUUUGCGUGGGAUAACGUCAGAACACGGGCGCUCAUACCGCAUAAGUCCUGACGGAGAACGGGGGGGAUCUGCGGACCUUACGCUCUCAGGCGAUCCUAGGUUGGAUUAGCUAGUUGGUGAGGUAAAGGGCUACCAAGGCGACGAUCCGUAGCUGGUCUGAGAGGAUGAUCAGUCACACUGGAACUGAGACACGGUCCAGACUCCUACGGGAGGCAGCAGUGGGGAAUAUUGGACAAUGGGCGAAAGCCUGAUCCAGCCAUACCGCGUGUGUGAAGAAGGUCUUCGGAUUGUAAAGCCCUUUAAUUUGGGAAGAAGGGCAGUAAGUUAAUACCUCGCUGUUUUGACGUUACCCACAGAAUAAGCACCGGCUAACUUCGUG